rnacentral:lncRNA from 1 species
CUUCCUGUUUUAUUCCUGAGCGUCACAAUAGGGAGGUAGUGGGUGUCUUCGAAAAGCCGCUGGGAGAGGGCCUCCGGAGACCCCCCCGCAUCGCCAUUCCCGCUCUGCUUCUGCGAAGCUUUGUGACCUUGGGCGAGUGGCUUGGCCUCUCUGAACCCCGGGUGCUUCCACCGAAAGUGAGGGUGACCACAGGCCGCCUCCGGGGGCGGCCCAUGAGAAAGUCGUGAGCUCACAAAGGCCUGGCGCCCGCAUCCCUGAGGCGGCUGGCCUGCCCUGGGAUGUGACGGGAAUAAGCUUUGUGAGAAAACCUCGCCCAAAUGGAGCCGUUAGGCCGGCCUCCUUUCACGAGUCACUUCCUCAGCUUCGGGAGCCCAGAGGAUAAGAGCACACCGGCCAGGAUGCAGAGCAGUCAGCUGUGAGCCCGGGGGAACUGAUGGAACCAGAUCCUGACCUAAGUCAAUUGCUAGGACUCUGUCCCUCAGGGAGUAAAGCACAGAGCAUACCCCAGAUAUCUAUCCUUGCCAUGGAAUCUCUUCCAAAUUGUGAUUGUCAAGGACAGCCCAGAAUCUUGUCUGGACGUAUCGCGAUUUGUUCAACUAAUCUCCUGUUGUCGGACAUUCAGGUUGUAUCUGCGCUCUGCUGACUGUCAAAAGGCAGUUCUGCCUGCCCUGGACUUUGCACUAGGCUGAAGGCUGACCCACCUCUUCUAAAUCCCAAGUGGUCUUCUGAGAAGGAUCAGGCAGGGACAAAGACACAUACUGCGGAGCUUCCAGUGCCUCCCCAGUCAAGUCUCAAGACAUAAGACACACCCAGACUUGAGUGUGGAUGAGAAUCACAUUCCAGAGGCAGGGAGCGUAUUGUUUGGGCGACAAGAUGUAACUCUAAAAUACAGAAGGUUUCUUUUCCGACAGUCAUACCAGAGCUCACCCAACCCAGUAACUCACUGUCCUUUCAAAGUAGUCACCCGGAAGGCAGUCCUCUCCUUGCAAUAAAACGGUGCUUGCAUGAAAAUGCA